rnacentral:lncRNA from 1 species
UCAUUUAUAGCACCCCGAGCCCUGAGCUCACGACCCGGAGUCAUUUACAUCAUUCUAGCCACUUGUGAGUGGCCUCGACCCGACACCUUGAGUCGGAAAGUAUCCUGAUCGGCUAUCUAUUUAGAGCCCGGAGCUCUCGACCCAGAGUCAUUAUUUCUUAUUUUAGAGCCCGGAGCUCUCGACCCAGAGUCACUUUCCAUUUCGACCCAGAGUCAUUAUUUCCUAUUUUAGAGCCCGGAGCUCUCGACCCAG